GUUCAAUCCCAUGAACUACGAUUCUUCAGUAAAAAAGUUAUCAUAGGACAAAUUCUAAACUAUCUUGAUGCCUACAUGGUUUAAGCUCAUGCAUCAAGAGCAAAACUUGUUAUUGCAUAAUAUGCUUGCAUGUAGGUUUCUAAUGUCAUUACUAAUCUUUAGAUAAAUCAUAGUUUAUGACACCUCUCGCUAAGCUUACUAAAUUUUUAAAAGGAAUGGGAAGAUGGAUGAAGAUAACUUUGGCGGAUGAAGUGGCGAGGUGCCUCUAAGGCAUCACAUGAUUUUGAAUAAUGCACCAAUAGUGUAUACUUCAAAGUGUUGGUAAUGAAAGAAUCUCCAUCGAAAGAAGAUGACUAUGAUAGAACUAGAAAUAUUAACAUGAAUGUGUUGUAAAAGUAGAAAUAGAGUGACAAACUAAAUUAUUGGAGAGAGCAUAGUAGACAAACCAAUCCAGAAGAAAGUAAUCAAGAAACAUUUGGGAUGGUGUGAGCAUGUUUGAUGGGAAUUUGAGGAGGCCUUGUUUAGAAGAGGCUCCUGAAUCUGUUUAAGAUUUUUAAAAAGAGGAAAAGGCCUAAGCUGAUGUGGAUGGAAGUCGUUAGGAAGAAAAUGAAAGGGCUGGCUACCAUCAUGGAGGUAGUCCUAAAUAGGAAUGACUAACUAAUAAGAAUUUAUGAAGCAAACAUUUAAUUGCUGGGACAAGCUUGAUGAUUACACUUACUAGUAAAUGCAUGCAUUGCAUUGUGUGGCAUCUUAGAUAUAGAAUGUGGUAUCUUUAAAUUGUAGAUCUCUCUAUGUGGCCUUUUCAUAUAGUUAUACUGACCUUCUUACUUCCUUUAGUUUGAAGCAGCUUUUGAGUUUAGUAAGUANN
rnacentral:lncRNA from 1 species